AAUGGACGAAAGUCUGAUGCAGCGACACCGCGUGAAGGAUGAAGGCCCUAGGGUUGUAAACUUCUUUUAUUAGGAAAUAGCAAGGAAGGUACCUAAUGAAUAAGCAACGGCUAACUACGUGCCAGCAGCCGCGGUAAUACGUAGGUUGCAAACGUUGUCCGGAAUCACUGGGCGUAAAGGGUCCGUAGGCGGUUUGAUAAGUCUCAUAUGAAAGCUUCAAGCUCAACUUGGAGAUGUUGUGAGAUACUGUCAGACUAGAGACUGUUAGAGGUAAGUGGAAUUCCAGGUGUAGUAGUGAAAUGCGUAGAUAUCUGGAGGAACUCCUGUGGCGAAAGCGACUUACUGGGACGGUUCUGACGCUAAGGGACGAAAGCGUGGGAGCGAACCGGAUU
rnacentral:rRNA from 1 species